CAACAGGGAUUGCCCCAGUAACGGCGAGUGAAGCGGCAACAGCUCAAAUUUGAAAUCUGGCUCUCGGGCCCGAGUUGUAAUUUGUAGAGGAUGCUUUUGGUGAGGUGCCUUCCGAGUUCCCUGGAACGGGACGCCAUGGAGGGUGAGAGCCCCGUCUGGUUGGACACCGAUCCUCUGUAAAGCUCCUUCGACGAGUCGAGUAGUUUGGGAAUGCUGCUCUAAAUGGGAGGUAUAUGUCUUCUAAAGCUAAAUACCGGCCAGAGACCGAUAGCGCACAAGUAGAGUGAUCGAAAGAUGAAAAGAACUUUGAAAAGAGAGUUAAAAAGUACGUGAAAUUGUUGAAAGGGAAGCGCUUGUGACCAGACUUGGGCUUGGUUGAUCAUCCGGGGUUCUCCCCGGUGCACUCUUCCGGCUCAGGCCAGCAUCAGUUCGCCCUGGGGGAUAAAGGCUUCGGGAAUGUGGCUCUCUCCGGGGAGUGUUAU
rnacentral:rRNA from 1 species